rnacentral:rRNA from 1 species
AAGGAUUCCCCUAGUAACUGCGAGUGAAGAGGGAAGAGCUCAAAUUUUGAAUCUGGCGGUCGUCUGGCCGUCCGAGUUGUAAUCUAGAGAAGCGUCUUCCGCGUCGGACCCGUGUACAAGUCUCCUGGAAGGGAGCGUCAUAGAGGGUGAGAAUCCCGUCUUUGACACGGACGAACCGAGGCUAUGUGAUGCGCUCUCGACGAGUCGAGUUGUUUGGGAAUGCAGCUCAAAACGGGUGGUAAAUUCCAUCUAAAGCUAAAUACAGGCGAGAGACCGAUAGCGAACAAGUACCGUGAGGGAAAGAUGAAAAGAACUUUGGAAAGAGAGUUAAACAGUAUGUGAAAUUGCUGGAAGGGAAACGUUUGAUGUCAGUCGCGUCGGCUGGGGGUCAAUCUGGCUUCAUUGCUGGGUGUAUUUCCUGGUCGACGGGUCAGCGUCAGUUUUCGUCGCUCGUACAAUGGCAGAGGGAAAGUGGCACUCUUUCGGGAGUGUGUUAUAGCCCUUCGUCGUAUGCGGUGGUGGGGACUGAGGAACUCAGCACAGAAAUGUGUUUAGGAUGCUGGCAUAAUGGCCUUAAGCGACCCGUCUUGAAACACGGACCAAGGAGUCUAACAUGUCUGCGAGUGUUUGGGUGGGCAAACUCGAGCGCGAAAUGAAAGUGAACGGUCGAGACCUCUGUCAUGGAGGGCAUCGACGCCCGGACCGGAGUCAUCGACGAAGGAUCUGCGGUAGAGCAUGCAUGUUAGGACCCGAAAGAUGGUGAACUAUGCCUGAAUAGGGUGAAGCCAGAGGAAACUCUGGUGGAGGCUCGUAGCGAUUCUGACGUGCAAAUCGAUCGUCGAAUUUGGGUAGAGGGGCGAAAGACUAAUCGAACC